rnacentral:rRNA from 1 species
GACGAACGCUGGCGGCGUGCUUAACACAUGCAAGUCGAACGAAGUGGCGAACGGGUGAGUAACGCGUGAUCAACCUGCCCUUCAGAGGGGGACACCAGUUGGACACGACUCCUACUCCCGCAUACUGACUGAGGGGUUUGCGUCUGAUUGUCUCGGUGGAGGGGUCACGGCCCACCAAGGCGAUGAUCAGUAGCCGGGCUGGGAGGAUUAACGGCCACAUUGGGACUGGGACACGGCCCAGACUCCUACGGGAGGCAGCAGGGGGGAAUCUUCCGCAAUGGACGAAAGUCUGACGGAGCAACGCCGCGUGAGUGAUGACGGCCUUCGGGUUGUAAAGCUCUGUUAAUCGGGACGCGGUACCGGAAGAGAAAGCCACGGCUAACUACGUGCCAGCAGCCGCGGUAAUUC